rnacentral:lncRNA from 1 species
AUAUUGAUCACUACGGAGGGAACCUUUAAGAGUUCAAGGGGCACUAUUCUUGUUGUGGAGCAGAUUUCUUCGACCAAGAGAAAGUCUGGUUGGAAGAAGAAAAAUAAAUCUGCUAAGAAGUAGAAGAAAAAGAGCAAGCCAAAGAAAGAUGUUCCAAAAAAGGCUGAAGCAAAGAAAAAGUAUUUCCACUGUGAUACUGAUGGCCACU